ensembl:snRNA U6 U6 spliceosomal RNA
GUGCAGCACAUAUACUAAAAUUGGAAUGAUGCAGAGAAGAUUAGUGUGGGCCCUGCACAAGGUUGACAUGCAAAAAUAUUUUAUUUUU